GUACUGCUGAGGAGUCCCAUACAAGGAUAAAAUGGCCGUCCACUGCUUACAGGUUUUCAAUGGUGGUCUUACAUUCACUGACUCAUGAUCUCAAUCAAAAACUUAACAAUUUCCACAACCCCACACUGUUGAGUAUAAAUGUCACUACGUGCAUUAUUUAUUUGAAUCGUUUUCACAGAAAACUGUGUAUUUUGUUACAAAAGGUUAAAUGUAAUAAAAGUAAAGCGCUCGCGCGCGAGACCGAUAGGUCUUGGGUUCGAAUCUCACGAAGCGGGAUGGUGGACGCGCAGUGUUGAGGAUUCCCACAAUAGGACGAAACGGCCGUCUAGUGC
rnacentral:hammerhead_ribozyme from 1 species